rnacentral:rRNA from 1 species
UCCCUAGUACUGCGAGUGAAGUGGGAAAAGCUCAAAUUUAAAAUCUGACAGUCUUUGACUGUCUGAGUUGUAACCUAGAGAAGUGCUACCUGUGCUGGACCAUGUAUAAGUCUCCUGGAAUGGAGUGUCAGAGAGGGUGAGAAUCCCGUCCUUUGACAUGGACUGCCAGUGCAUUGUGGUGUGCUCUCAAAGAGUCGAGUUGUUUGGGAAUGCAGCUCUAAAUGGGUGGUAAAUUCCAUCUAAAGCUAAAUAUUGGCGAGAGACCGAUAGUGAACAAGUACCGUGAGGGAAAGAUGAAAAGAACUUUGGAAAGAGAGUUAAACAGUACGUGAAAUUGUUGAAAGGGAAACAUUUGAAGUCAGUUGUGUUAGCUGGGGAUCAACCUGGCUUUUCUGCUUGGGUGUAUUUCCUGGUUGACAGGCCAACAUCAGUUUUGACCAUUAGAAAAAGACCAAGGAAAUGUGGCACCUUUGGGUGUGUUAUAGUCCUUGGUUGUAUGUGAUGGUUAGGACUGAGGCAUGCAGCACACUACUAGGCUGGGCUUUGCCACAUUUGUGCUUAGGAUGUUGGCAUAAUGGCUUUAAGUGACCCGUCUUGAAACACGGACCAAGGAGUCUAACAUGCCUGCAAGUGCUUGGGUGGAAAACCCAUGUGCAAAAUGAAAGUGAAAGUUGAGAAUCCCUGUCAUAGGGAGCAUUGACACUCAGACCAGAACUUUUGGGACGGAUCUGCGGUAGAGCAUGCAUGUUGGGACCCGAAAGAUGGUGAACUAUGCCUGAAUAGGGUGAAGCCAGAGGAAACUCUGGUGGAGGCUCGUAGCGAUUCUGACGUGCAAAUCGAUCGUCGAAUUUGGGUAUAGGGCGAAAGACUAUCGA